CAAAUUGUGCUUUCCGAGGUCUAUGUUGUAAUCACACAUUUAUAAAUUGCCUAUGUGAUUGUAGAAAUGUGAUGGUGGUAAGACUGCUACUAUGGGUGAUUAGCCCAAGCAAUGAGCACAAAAGGGUGGUGGUGGUGGUGAGCAAGUUAAAGUUCUACAAAUAUUUUUUCUAUUUUUUCAUUUUUUAAAAAUGUUUGUGAUGUUGAUGUUUCCAGGUCGAACUUAGCAUAGUGUUGAGGGUGAUAUCUUAAUUUUGUGAAGGCUUUGGUGGUGAUCGGUGGUGGUUUUAUAUGUUUAAACCUCAGUUUUUCUACUUUAAGAACACAACUUUUAACUGUUUCUUUAUUAUCAGCCACUUUGAUUUACCACUUUUCACUCCAAAAUGAAUCUCGCGCACUAAUUGGGUCAAAUUACUCUAGAUUUACAUUGAACUUGUAUACUUAAUGCCGGAAUACUUGCUCUACUGGUCUUGAGCCUUGAUUGCUAUGGCUAAUAUCUUAAUGAAAAAUUGACCUACAAUAACCCUCAUAGCUAGUCAUAGUCCAAUUUCCUGUAAGCUUCUACAAUCUGCCUGUAGUGUACAGAAAGUGCUUGCUCUAUGAACCCUUCUUAGUUUUGUAAGCCGCAGCAUUGGAAUUUCCUGCUUGAUUUGAUAUAAAACUGUGACAUUGAUCUCCAUCUUCACUUUUAUGUCGAGGCUGCAAACUGUGUGCGCUGCGCUACCAUUGAAAUGGUUACAAGCCAUGAUUCUGCCACUGUCAACUUAACAUUCAAGGCCAAACACAUGUACAAUAAUUUAUGCAUGUAUAUUUUUAAAAUCAUUAGAAAACAUUAUAUAAGCUACUCAUAUCAUAUGUAGAAAAGAAAAUAAUAUUAUACAGCUGAAUUGAAAAAAAAAUUCAAACCUCUAUACAUAAUCUGGAGGUUUGGACCUCAUCGUGAUCAAGGCUAUAGCCUUUUGAAAGUGAGAACCUAUCAUCUCAGGUGAAACAUUUUAAGUCAUGUAGAUUUGUCCUACAGAACUUUAUAAUCUUGGUCGCUUAUGUAUGUUCCUGUCGAAGCCUCUGCUUUUCAUCUGCUACGAGUAUAUACACCUGCAAUGAGAGAGAGAGAGAGAGAGAGAGAGAGAGAGAGAGAAAUAAUAUAUGUUGACAGCUUUUCUUCUUAUUAGUCAUUGACUCCUUGCUGAGAGAAUUAUCUCAGAUGAAAAUGGAAGUAUAUUAAGCUCCAUUAUACUUAGAGAGUUAAGGUUGUAAAUAGAGCUCUAUGUGUGCAAAACAUUACACUGGUACAGGAUUUUGUUCGAGGAUUUCCUUUCCUGUAAUUCCAUCUUUCAAAGUUCUAAAGUAAACAUUGUAGUCCUUCUCGGGGGAUGGAUUUUGAGGGUCCACUGUAAAUGGCUCACUAAAUGGCACAACACUUUUAACCUGCAAAUGAGUUUAUAAGCAUCUCAGAAUCUGCAAAAGCUUUUAACUUCCAAAAAUAGCAAAUUGCAGCCACAGCACACAGCACACAAUUAAGGGACAUAAGUCGGGCUGUGACCUUAAAUGUCUUGCCAGAUGCAUGGGGCUUUCCAACGCAGCAACACAAAUCUGAGCAACCUCCUCUCUUGAUAUCUUACCCUGCAUAUAUAUAAAUCCUAUCAAUCAUAACAUUCAGAUAUGAUUACUAUUAUAAAGGAAAGAAAGAGCAAUACAUGCGAUCACAAUAAAGAGAGAAUAGUGAUCUUCCAUUUGAUUAUAUACCGUUACAUUGUCUCCUUGGUCAAAAAUGAGAUCUGCUCCAGCAGGCUCCUCAGCAAAGAUAGAUGAAGUUUGAAAAAUCGCUAUGAGGUAGGCUAAAAGAACAAAAGAAAAGAACCAGACCCUAAACCCUAAAGAACCAGACCCACCCUGGCACCCAGACCCGCCUAGGGCCGCCUAGACCCGCCUAGACCCGCCUAGCGCCGCUCAAACCCUCCCAGCGCCGCCUAGACCAGCCCUGCAGUGCAUUAUGCAUAAGUUUGAAAAAUCGCUAGGCAGUAGGUUUAAAGAACAAAAGAAAAGAACCAGACCCGCCUAGACCCGCCUAGACCCGCCUAGCGCCGCCCUGACCUGCCCAUGCCGCCUAGGCCGAUUUUUCGUAAAGCAGAGUAUGGAUUGGAAGGAAUGGUUUCAACAAGAGGGGAUGUGUACAGUUUUGGAAUCGUAGUGAUGGAAACAUUGACAAGAAGGAAGCCACCAGAUGAGAUGUUUGUUGGGGAAAUGAAUUUAAAGCAAUGGAUUGCAAACUCACUAUUACCAGAUGCAAUGAUAGAUGAAGUUGUGGAUGCCAAUUUUCUUACUUGGUGUGGUUGCUGCUGCAAGCCUGCAACUACGGCCUCUUGGGUGCUUUGCCGCUGCUUUGUUAAGAAUAUUUGUUUUUCUAUUUAUUAUGUUUAUUGAUUAUCUUGUUCAGUUGUGGAAGUCCUAUUGUUUAGGAACUUGGUUGUUUAGUUGCUAGUUAAUAGGAGAGUCUAAGUUGUCAGGGAGUCAUGGUUAGUGGCUGAAUGUGAUGGUUUAGUCGUGCAUUAGUUGUUCCUAUUAUUUAGGAGAGUCCAAGUUGCUUUGUUAUUUUGCUAUUUAAGUUGUAUUCAGUGUUCAAGUUAAUGGUGAAGAGAAGUUUGAAUUCCACAAAUACGUUCUUGGUUCUUCAUCUGUUUCCUUAUUUUCAACAUGCUUACCCCAGGACUCUUUUACUUGGUAUGGUAUCAGAGGAGGCAAGAAACGACUGAUUACAACACCCAGGCCUCCCUUCCUAUCUGUUGGUCUCUCGGUGUGUGUAAAACAAGCUUGGUUUUUGAGACUUUUGUCUUGAUCGUUGCUUUAGUUAUGGAUAGAACAAACAAUUAAUGGUUUUCAGUUUCACAAAUAUUGGAUUGGAUUGGAUCCCUGUAUUUAAAGCAUGUUUAAGGAAGAAAUGAAAAUAUUUUUUUAUCAUUGAAGGUAGAAGAUGGAUUACUCAUGAAGAAAACUUAUCCUGUCUAAUCCCAACAAACAUGGAAAGUCAUUCACCCCUACCUUCAUCUUCUCUUUCAAUAUACCUUAGAUUUAGUGACUUAUCAAGUUUUCUUCUUUCAUAAUCAAAAUUAGUAAUUGACUCUUUCUACUCUUUAACUAACUGCUUUAGGGUUCUUUACCUGUGCAUUAAGUUCUGGUAUCUUGGGACAGGUUUUAUUUAGUCUCCUUUAGAAUUCUGAUAGCUUGUUUUGUCAAGCUGAAAGAGUGCUGGUUAGAUCCAACAACGAAUUUGAUUGAGACUAUAAACUUUUUGAAAAAUCAGUGGAAAGACCAUGGUAAAUUCUGUGAUCUGCUUGCUGAAGACUACUUCAAUUUAGCAUUCAAGUUUUAUGAAGACGUUAAUGUGACAAAGAUGCUUGAGGGUGCUGGAAUUUCGGUUGGGAUGGAUUUUGAUCCUAACUUAAUCAUUCAAAGUGAUAAGGAAAAAGACUAACAGCUUCGCAUAUAUAAAGUGUUAUAAUGGAAUGUUUUGUUUGGGAAGUCCGAUUCUGCUUCGAAAAAGAUGGAAUGUUCCGGGACUGUAACAUGAGGCCUCAGGAUAUGUUUCAAAAAAGGACAAUAAAUACACAUGACAAAAUUUCUCUUCCAAUGCCCACCUACAAUAAAGGCAGAGGUAAAUACCAAAUUGUGCUUUCCGAGUUCUAUGUUGUAAUCACACAUUUAUAAAUUGCCUAUGUGAUUGUUGUAGAAAUGUGAUGGCGGAGACUGCUACUAUAGGUGAUUAGCCCAAGCAAUGAGCACAAAAGGCUGCUGGUGGUGGUGAGCAAGUUAAAGUUCUACAAAUAUUUUUCUAUUUUUUCAUUUUUUUUUUUUAAUGUUUGUGUUAUGUUGAUGUUUCCAGGUCUGAACUUGAGUCACACGACAAGGCCAAGCAUAGUGUUGAGGGUGAUACCUUCAUUUUGUGAAGGUUUUGGUGGUGAUCGGUUGUGGUUUUAUAUGUUUAAACCUCAGUUUUUCUAUUUCUUUAACUUUGAUUAAUAAUUUACUUUAAGAACACUAAUUUUAACUGUUUCUUUAUUGUCAGCAACUUUGAUUUACCACUUUUCAUUCCAAAAUGAAUCUCGCGCACUAAUUGGGUCAAAUUACUCUUGGUUUACAUUGAACUUGUAUACUUAAUGCCGGAAUACUUGCUCUACUGGUCGCGAGCCUUGAUUGCUAUGGCUAAUGUCUUAAUGAAAAAUUGACCUACAAGAACCCUCAUAGCUAGUCAUAGUCCAAUUUCCUGUAAGCUUCUACAAUCUGCCCGUAGCGUACAGAAAGUGCUUGCUCUAUGAACCCUUCUUAGUUUUAUAAGCCGCAGCAUUGGAAUUUCCUUCUUGAUUUGAUAUAAAACUGUGACAUUGAUCUCCAUCUUCACUUUUAUGCCGAGG
rnacentral:lncRNA from 1 species